AUUGAACGCUGGCGGCAGGCCUAACACAUGCAAGUCGAACGAGUGGCGGACGGGUGAGUAAUGUCUGGGAAACUGCCUGAUGGAGGGGGAUAACUACUGGAAACGGUAGCUAAUACCGCAUACCAUCGGAUGUGCCCCUAUGGGAUUAGCUUGUAGGUGGGGUAAAGGCUUACCUAGGCGACGAUCCCUAGCGGGUCUGAGAGGAUGACAGGCCACACUGUAACUGAGACACGGUCCAGACUCCUACGUGAGGCAGCAGUGUGGAAUAUUGCACAAUGGGCGCAAGCCUGAUGCAGCCAUGCCGCGUGUAUGAAGAAGGCCGUCGGGUUGUAAAGUACUUUCAGCGGGGAGGCGUUACCCGCAGAAGAAGCACCGGCUAACUCCGUGCCAGCAGCCACGGUAAUUC
rnacentral:rRNA from 1 species